CUAUCUUCUUUUAUUUUAUGGCAACCAUAAUGUAUAUUACUUUUCGUGUAUUGACUUCGCAUCAUCUUAGAUUGGAUAUUUUUGCCAAGAUAGAUAAAUCUUGAUUAAUAAACUACGUAUCUACUGAUCCAGGAUAAAGCAGUUCCACAAGGUUACACGUUUAUAUCUGUGCUCUUUCAGGGCCAGCGCAAGGUUCAUCUCUCAAAUUUAUAAUCGCAUAAUGAAUUCAGAGGUCAUAAUCCAAAGCAGAAAUCCAGUCAAAAUUUAAAUUCUUUGACUAAACUGGAACAGACUUUUGCUUUGCACUGGAU